CGAGCGGAACCAACAGAUUUACUUCGGUAAUGACGUUGGGAAAGCGAGCGGCGGAUGGGUGAGUAACACGUGGGGAACCUGCCCCUAAGUCUGGGAUACCAUUUGGAAACAGGUGCUAAUACCGGAUAAUAAAGCAGAUCGCAUGAUCAGCUUUUGAACGGCGGCGUAAGCUGUCGCUAAGGGAUGGCCCCGCGGUGCAUUAGCUAGUUGGUAAGGUAACGGCUUACCAAGGCGACGAUGCAUAGCCGAGUUGAGAGACUGAUCGGCCACAUUGGGACUGAGACACGGCCCAAACUCCUACGGGAGGCAGCAGUAGGGAAUCUUCCGCAAUGGACGAAAGUCUGACGGAGCAACGCCGCGUGAGUGAAGAAGGUUUUCGGAUCGUAAAACUCUGUUGUCGGAGAAGAACUAGUAGGAGAGUAACUGUUCCUACCUUGACGGUACCCGACCAGAAAGCCACGGCUAACUACGUGC
rnacentral:rRNA from 1 species